UACAGAGGGUGCAAGCGUUAAUCGGAAUUACUGGGCGUAAAGCGUGCGUAGACGGUUAUGUAAGUCAGAUGUGAAAGCCCAGGGCUCAACCUUGGAAUUGCAUUUGAGACUGCAUAGCUAGGGUGCGGAAGAGGGAAGCGGAAUUUCCGGUGUAGCGGUGAAAUGCGUAGAUAUCGGAAGGAACACCAGUGGCGAAAGCGGCUUCCUGGUCCAGCACCGACGUUCAGGCACGAAAGCGUGGGGAGCAAA
rnacentral:rRNA from 1 species